GACGAACGCUGGCGGCGUGCUUAACACAUGCAAGUCGAACGGAAAGGCCCUGCUUGCAGGGUACUCGAGUGGCGAACGGGUGAGUAACACGUGGGUGAUCUGCCCUGCACUUCGGGAUAAGCCUGGGAAACUGGGUCUAAUACCGGAUAGUAGCCAUUUUUAGUGUGAUGGUUGGAAAGUUUUUUCGGUGUAGGAUGAGCUCGCGGCCUAUCAGCUUGUUGGUGGGGUAAUGGCCUACCAAGGCGGCGACGGGUAGCCGGCCUGAGAGGGUGGACGGCCACAUUGGGACUGAGAUACGGCCCAGACUCCUACGGGAGGCAGCAGUGGGGAAUAUUGCACAAUGGGCGCAAGCCUGAUGCAGCGACGCCGCGUGGGGGAUGACGGCCUUCGGGUUGUAAACUCCUUUCGCUAGGGACGAAGCUUUUGUGACGGUACCUAGAGAAGAAGCACCGGCUAACUACGUG
rnacentral:rRNA from 1 species